rnacentral:rRNA from 1 species
UACGUAGGGUGCGAGCGUUGUCCGGAAUUAUUGGGCGUAAAGGGCUCGUAGGCGGUUUGUCGCGUCGGGAGUGAAAACACCGGGCUUAACUCGGUGCUUGCUUCCGAUACGGGCAGACUAGAGGCAUGCAGGGGAGAACGGAAUUCCUGGUGUAGCGGUGAAAUGCGCAGAUAUCGGAAGGAACACCGGUGGCGAAAGCGGCGCGCUGGAUCUCUUCUGACGCUGAGGCGCGAAAGCCAGGGGAGCGAACGGG